UUGUAACAGGAUAUGAUAAUUUGCACUAAUAAUUUCCAGUUUUCCACGUACUUUUUAUUAAGUAAAUUAAUUAAGCAAACUAAAAUAUAUAUAUAGAAUAGACAUCCCACAAGCAUCCAGCUGUACAAUUUGCUCAUCUAUGCAAAAAGGGGGAAAUAUCAAAAAAGUAGGUUUUAUUAUAAAGAAGAAGAUUCUUUCUUCAAAAAUCAAAAAUCAAAAAUCAAUUCUCUCCCAACAAUUAAACCCACCCUUUCCAUACUUCCUUUUUCCCCUUCAUCUCCCUUUCCUGAUUAUCAUGGCGGAAGUUGGACAGCCACUGCCAAAAUUUGGUGAAUGGGAUGUGAAUGACCCUGCAUCAGCUGAGGGAUUUACAGUUAUUUUUAA